UACGAAGGUGGCAAGCGUUACUCGGAAUUACUAGGCGUAAAGGGCAGGUAGGUGGUUUGGUAAGUCUAUUGUGAAAGCUCCCGGCGUAACUGGGAGAGGCCAAUAGAUACUGCCGGACUUGAGUGUAGGAGAGGGUACUGGAAUUCCCGGUGUAGCGGUGAAAUGCGCAGAGAUCGGGAGGAACACCAAUGGCGAAAGCAGGUACCUGGACUAUUACUGACGCUAAGCUGCGAAAGCUAGGGGAGCAAACAGG
rnacentral:rRNA from 1 species